rnacentral:rRNA from 1 species
GACGAACGCUGGCGGCGUGCCUAAUACAUGCAAGUCGAGCGGAGCGGCGGACGGGUGAGUAAUGCCUAGGAAUCUGCCUGGUAGUGGGGGAUAACGUCCGGAAACGGGCGCUAAUACCGCAUACUAUCAGAUGAGCCUAGGUCGGAUUAGCUAGUUGGUGGGGUAAAGGCCUACAAAGGCGACGAUCCGUAACUGGUCUGAGAGGAUGAUCAGUCACACUGGAACUGAGCCACGGUCCAGACUCCUACGGGAGCCGACAGUGGGGAAAAAUGGACAAUGGGCGAAAGCCUGAUCCAGCCAAGCCGCGUGUGUGAAGAAGGUCUUCGGAUUGUAAAGCGCUUUAAGUUGGGAAGCGUUGCCAACAGGAUGAGCACCGGGUGACUUCGUGCCAGCAGCCGCGGUAAUAC